rnacentral:rRNA from 1 species
UACGAAGGGGGCUAGCGUUACUCGGAUUGACUGGGCGUAAAGGGCGCGUAGGCGGAUGGUACAGUCAGACGUGAAAUUCCUGGGCUCAACCUGGGGGCUGCGUUUGAUACGUGCUGUCUGGAGUUCGGAAGAGGGUCGUGGAAUUCCCAGUUGUAGGAGGUGAAAUUCGUAGAUAUUGGGGAAGAACACCGGUGGCGAAGGCGGCGACCUGGUCCGAUACUGACGCUGAGGCGCGAAAGCGUGGGGGAGCAAACAGG